rnacentral:rRNA from 1 species
UACGUAGGGGGCUAGCGUUGUCCGGAAUCAUUGGGCGUAAAGAGCGUGUAGGCGGCCCGGUAAGUCCGCUGUGAAAACUCGAGGCUUAACCUCGAGAUGUCGGCGGAAACCAUCUGGCUAGAGUCCGGAAGAGGAGAGUGGAAUUCCUGGUGUAGCGGUGAAAUGCGCAGAUAUCAGGAAGAACACCCGUGGCGAAGGCGGCUCUCUGGGACGGUACUGACGCUGAGACGCGAAAGCGUGGGGAGCGAACAGG